rnacentral:lncRNA from 1 species
CCUUUUCUUGAGACCCAGAGCUCAUUGCUUGUCAGCUCUUUGUUCCUUAUCCACCACCCCUCAAGCUGAGGAACAGACACAGUGUGGGAUGUGAGGGUUGGGAGUGGGCAAAGUGAUAAUGAGUUUGAUUUUGAGAAUGUUGCCAUUGAGGCAGCUGGCACAUCCAGCUAGAGGAUAGUUCUGGAGUUAUCGGGAGAGAUCUGAACUAUUGAUCAAUGAAUGUGGGAAUCUUAUACAUAUUCGUAGUAUAUUUGUUAGGAAUUACAUUUAGUUACUAGAAGAAACUUUCUUGUCAAAGACCAGAAGGAACGGUGGCUUAAACCAGAUGGAAAUGUAUUGUGCUUCACAUUAGUGGGCUGGUGCGUUGGUAUCAUGGUAUUUUUCAGGGACCAAGGAACCGAUCUAUCUUUCUGCCUCACCAUUUUAGUAUGUAUCCUCCACCUUGGAUUUGUCUUAUAAUUGAAUAUCGCUGCUAGAGCACCAGGCAUCAUCUUUGCAUUCCAGACAGAAAGCAGGAAAAAAAGGUGGAAGGUUUUUUAAAAAAGAAAAGUGCUUAUGCCUACAGCUGUCUACCUUCUUUUUAAGUCCUACCUGAUAACUUCUAUGUACACAUUGUAAGGGAAAUGGCUGCACUUUAGUCAGGAAUAGGCUGAGGCAGCCUUCUGGCACAGCAUGAUUCACUGGGUUUGGAGCACAGGUGCACUCUCAAAACACUCUCAUAAAAAACACCUGGGGCUUCCUGCGAGCUGGCCUGGGCUUUCGUUACUGCCUCCCCUGCUCAUGAUGGGUAUUUACAUAUCCUUAGACCCUCAGCUAGAACAAGCUGCACCUGAGAUCAGUCUCCAGUGGCGUUUUGGUCCGGGAAAGGCCCUGACCUGUGGCCACACAUUAUGUAACCAUGCCACGUGAAGUGCAUUAGGUGAUCACUCACAUGAGUCUGUGCCUGGCUUAGAGACACUGUUGUCUACAAAAGGUAUAAUUACCCUGCUAGCGGCUAUACAUAGGGCUUGUGCCCAGAAAGAGGAUAAAGCCAUAUCAAAACUCCCUACGAUUCCUGUAGUGUUUUUCCAGCUACUCCCCCACCGACUCCCCUCGGACCUCAGUUUGGGAUAGAACCUGACAAUUGGUGUCAUGAACAGGAUCCUGAGAUUUAGAAGCAGUGGCGUCCCUCUUGCGGCAACAUUUAGCAGCAUGUGGUUGGGCCGUCAACGAAUCCAAGGUCCAAGGUCCUGGAUUAUCUGCCAGAUUCUUGGGAGUUAUCUGGUCAGGCUCCAGUUAGUAGUUGCUGCCUAGGAGAUGAAGUGAAUUUCACAAGAAAGACAUAAGAAGCCAACAACUGAUUUGGAAUGAUCUGAGAGACUGACACAAAAAUGGUGAGUGAUUUCUCCGAGCUACCUAGAAGAAGCAAUGUAAAAACCAUUCUGGAGUGACACUAUUUCAACACAGGCUGUAAAAAAGACCCUGAUAUAAAGUCUUAGUGAAAAUAAACUCAUAAUAAAAAAUGUAAAGCUCCCCCCAAAACAAUCUACUAUGAACAAGAAUUAAUAGGCAAACAUACACAUACAAAUGGCAGUAUUAGAUUCCUAAACCCUUUAGAUAAUGACACAAUGCAAUGGAAGCUAUAAAAUAUGUAUUUUAUAAAUAGUGUUUUUAUUUAAAAACAAUAUUAGAUUUACAAAAAAAUUGUAACUAUAGUACAGAGAGUUUAUCUAAACCCACACUCAGUUUCUUCUAUUAUUAACAAUUUGCUAUAAUUAAUGAACCAAUCUGUCUAUAUUAUUACUAUUAGCAUUAUUAAGUAAAGUUGAUACUUUGUUCAGAUUUUCUUAGUUUUUACCUAAUGUCUUUUUGUGUUCGAGGAUCUCACCCAAGAUACCACAUUACAUUUGGUUGUCAUAUCUCCUUAACCUCCUCUUGGCUGUGACAGUUUCUCAGGCUUUCCUUGUUUUUGAUGACCUUGACAGGUUUUUAGAUAUACCGGUCAGGUAUUUUAUAGAAUGUCCCUAGGAUUUGUCAGAUGUUUGUCUCAUGAUUAGAUUGGGCUCAUGUUUUUGGGGAGAACACUACAGAGGUAAAGUACAUUUUCAUCACAUCAUACCAGGGGCACAUAUUAUCGUCAACAUCACUUAUCAGUAUUAAUAUUGACAUUAAUCACUGGGCUGAAGUAAUGUUUGUC